UACGUAGGGCGCAAGCGUUAUCCGGAUUCACUGGGUUUAAAGGGUGCGUAGGCGGCCAUGUAAGUCAGGAGUGAAAGUUUUGCGGCUCAACCGUAAAAAUUGCUUUUGAUACUGCAUGGCUGGAAUCAGGAUGAGGUCAGCGGAAUGUGGCAUGUAGCGGUGAAAUGCAUAGAUAUGCCAUAGAACACCAAUUGCGAAGGCAGCUGGCUAGACCUGUAUUGACGCUGAGGCACGAAAGCGUGGGGAGCGAACAGG
rnacentral:rRNA from 1 species